UGGGGGGAUGGCAGCUCAUCAGUCCAGGCCAUCUGGCCACUGAGUCGGCACCAGUACCCAAUC
ensembl:miRNA